GGCCGCCAGUGUGAUGAAGGCCUUAGGGUUGUAAAGUACUUUCGUGGAGGAGGGGUUUACGUAAUCGUGGACAUUGACGUUACUCCAAGAAGAAGCACCGGCUAACUCCGUGCCAGCAGCCGCGGUAAUACGGAGGGUGCGAGCGUUAAUCGGAAUGACUGGGCGUAAAGGGCAUGCAGGCGGAUGAUUAAGUUAGAUGUGAAAUCCCUGGGCUUAACCUAGGAAUUGCAUUUAAAACUGGUUAUCUAGAGUAUUGUAGAGGAAGGUAGAAUUCCAUGUGUAGCGGUGAAAUGCGUAGAGAUGUGGAGGAAUACCGGUGGCGAAGGCGGCCUUCUGGACAGUACUGACGCUGAGAUGCGAAAGCGUGGGGAGCAAACAGGAUUAGAUACCCUGGUAGUCCACGCUGUAAACGAUGUCGAUUUGGAGUUUGUUGCCUAGAGUGAUGGGCUCCGAAGCUAACGCGAUAAAUCGACCGCCUGGGGAGUACGGCCGCAAGGUUAAAACUCAAAUGAAUUGACGGGGGCCCGCACAAGCGGUGGAGCAUGUGGUUUAAUUCGAUGCAACGCGAAGAACCUUACCUGGUCUUGACAUCCAUAGAAUUCUGCAGAGAUGUGGGAGUGCCUUCGGGAACUAUGAGACAGGUGCUGCAUGGCCGUCGUCAGCUCGUGUUGUGAAAUGUUGGGUUAAGUCCCGCAACGAGCGCAACCCUUAUUCUUGUUGCCAGCGAUUUGGUCGGGAACUCAAAGGAGACUGCCG
rnacentral:rRNA from 1 species